UGAUGAUGUUAUUCGUGCGCAGCUUCUGU
rnacentral:sRNA from 1 species